ensembl:lncRNA
CUCAUUUUUUGGCUUCAGUUUUCUCAAUUGCAAAAGGGGAUAAUCAUAGUAUCUACCCCCUAGUUAUUAGGAGGAUCAAAUAAGAUAAUAUUUGUAAAGUACUUAGCACAGUAUCUGACACAUAAUAGGGGCUUAAUGAAAGCUAAUUUCCUUCCUUCCUACCAUAAAUGCCAGCUCACUAUCAAAAAUGAUAAUAGGAACUAAAAGGGAUUUUCAUAAUUGUUUGGGUCUAAAGAUCUCAAGUCAGCACUAGCAAUCUAAGAAAAUAAAUUAUCUUAGCCUCAGGGCAAUUCUGUUGACUUUAUUGACUGCCUCUUAGUGUUUGCUGGUUCACAUCCCUCAGUUAUGCACUAAAUGCUGUAGCUCUCUUUGCCAAGGAGUGGUAUUCUAGUCAUUCUACCCCAAUAAAUGGUAGCCAAAAGCAGAAAAUGGCCCUGUAGAGGCAAAACAGCUGGAAUGUAGCAGAUGAAACAGAAAGAAGCUGGACAAUCAGAAAUGCUGUGGUCAGUGGAGAAUGGGUAUGCCAUGUUGGGGAGAUUGUAGCUUUAUGACAUCACCAGAACAAAAUGGCAUCACUGAAAGGUCACAAGCAAGAAGCAUCAUACUCUCACCCUGAUUGCUCCAUGGUCACAGGUGCUCCUAGGGGUGUGCUUUUCAUGUAUGUAUAUGUCACUUGGUACAUACCCCAUAAGAGAUUCCCUAGCUACUUGUUCCCUCUGUAUGUGACCACCAUUUGUGUUCUGUGGUCAAUGUCCCUUGUUCCUGCAACUUGGCCUAUUGGUUGUAUGGUGACCAUCUCUGGGAAGAAGAAGAGGAAGGAAAGAAGCAUCAAUUAAGCACUUGGCCAUGUGACAGAAGAACGAUAUGAGAAAGAUCUUAAUGUGACGUAAUCCAGAUGAUGUGGUUACUGACCUGGAGUCAGGCAUCUUAGAGAAUGAAGUCAAGUGGGUCUUAGGAAGCAUUGCUAACAAUAAGGCUAGGGGAGGUUAAGGAAUUCCAGCUGAGCUAUUUAAAUUCCUAAAAGACGAUGCUAUUAAAGGGCUAAACUCAAUGUGCAGCAAAUUUGGAAAAUUCAGAAACGGCUACUGGAUUGGAAAAGAUCAGCUUAUGUCCCAUGCCUAAAGAAGGGCAAUGCCUAAGAAUGUUCAAACUAUUGAACAUUUACAUUGAUUUCACGUACCAUCAAGGAUAUGCUCAAGAUUUUGCAAGAUAGGCUUUAGCAAUAUGUAAAUGGAGAAUUACCUAAAAGCAGGCUAGUUUUCAAAGAGGCAGAGGAACUAGAGGCCAAAUUGCCAAAAUUCACUGGAUUAUGGAGGAAGCAAGGAAGUUCCACAAAAAAACCCCACAACAUUUACUUCUGUUCCAUUGAUUACACUAAAGCCUUUGACAAUGUGUAUCACAAUGAAUUGAAAGAAAUGAAUUCUGACUAUUUAUUGGAAAAACAAAUAGGGAAACAGAAGCUGAAAUGCUUUGCCCAUAGAAUGAGAAGAUGGGGCUUAUUGGGAAAGACUCUGAUGCUGGGAAAGGUAGAAGGCAAAAGGAUGACAUGAAUUGUGUCAUGCAAGCCAUGAACCUGCUGUUGGACAAACUUUGGGAGACUUUUGUGGUCCACAAAGAACCAAGACAGGACUAAAUGACUGAACCAUAAAUGGGCCAGGGGCUUUUCAAGUAUUAUUUCAUUUUACCAGCUCAAGUCUGGGAGGUAAGUGCUAUUUCCAUUAUCUUUCUACAGAGGACACUGAGGCACACACAGGGUAAGUGACCUUCUCAGGAUCACACAGCUAGUAUCUAAGGUCCUAUUUGAACUCGACUUCCUGACUACAGCCCCUGCAGUCC